CUCCAGUUGAACUUGACACUGGGUGUUUCGAAGCCAUAGUCAGCGUGAUCGUGGAUAAACUCCGCGUGGACAGCCGUGUUCCACAUCACCUGCCCGCACAAACCGCACUGACUCACGCAGGUGCCGCCGAGGCGCCGCGGCUCCACCAGCGCGACGCGGGCCCCCAGCUCGGCCGCCCGCCGGGCCCCCGCCAGCCCCCCGGAGCCCCCGCCCAGCACCAGCAGCUCGUAGGCGGCCGCCGCCAUCGCUCCGGGCUCGGUCUGACCCCGCCGCUCCGCCCCCGGGGCCGCCCCAUCCCGGCCCGGUCCCCGCCCCGGUCCCCGCCCCGGCCCCGCACGACACCACGGACUGGGGGUUGACAAGGGCGUUUAUUGGUUCGGGUACAGCGAGGAGGAUUUGCAAGCACUUCCAGGACAAAUAUACAGAGGGGAUGAGAGGGGAGGGAAACGACAAAAAAAGGGAGACAAAA